AUCGUUCAUGAGUUGUGAAAUAGUCGGUAUCCAUUUAGUGAUCUCAAGGUGUGUUAGUCAAGCGUUUCGUCUAGGAAAAGUUAUAGUGAAAUAAAUCAAAUCAGAGAUCACCAAUCUAACAGUCAAAAUGCCAGAAAAUACCAAUGUUUUUGUGUCCACUCCAGGGGGCUGUCCAGUGUGCCAUAAUAAUAGCUGGACAGGAACAUACUCAUGCUGUGCUUGGUUGCUGGCCAUUUUCUGUUUUCCAUGUGGAAUUAUUUGCUGUUGCUGUAUGAGAAGAAAGAAAUGUGCCAAAUGUGGAUUUGUUGUUGGCUAGAAGACGACGUAAUUUGAUACUUUUUUUUAAUCAACCUUUUUAAGACCUACUUAUGAUAAGAGAAAAUUCUGUUUCUUUUAGGAGAGCGAAUAAACAUUUUUUAUAACUGA